rnacentral:tRNA from 1 species
CUGAAUAGGCGGGCCUCGANCCCGCG